rnacentral:rRNA from 1 species
GACGGAGGAUGCAAGCGUUAUCCGGAAUUAUUGGGCGUAAAGCGUCCGCAGGUGGCUGUUCAAGUCUGCUGUCAAAGCGCAGAGCUUAACUCUGUACAGGCGGUGGAAACUGAAGAGCUAGAGUAUGGUAGGGGUAGAGGGAAUUCCCGGUGUAGCGGUGAAAUGCGUAGAUAUCGGGAAGAACACCAGUGGCGAAAGCGCUCUACUGGGCCAUAACUGACGCUGGAGGAGCGAAAGCAUGGGGAGCGAACAGG